CAGGAACGCUGGCGGCAGGCUUAACACAUGCAAGUCGAGCGCCCCGCAAGGGGAGCGGCAGACGGGUGAGUAACGCGUGGGAAUCUACCCAUCUCUACGGAAUAACGCAUGGAAACGUGUGCUAAUACCGUAUACGUCCUUCGGGAGAACGAUUUAUCGGAGAUGGAUGAGCCCGCGUUGGAUUAGCUAGUUGGUGGGGUAAAGGCCUACCAAGGCGACGAUCCAUAGCUGGUCUGAGAGGAUGAUCAGCCACCCUGGGACUGAGACACGGCCCAGACUCCUACGGGAGGAAGCAGUGGGGAAUAUUGGACAAUGGGCACAAGCCUGAUCCAGCCAUGCCGCGUGAGUGAUGAAGGCCCUAGGGUUGUAAAGCUCUUUCACCGGUGAAGAUAAUGACGGUAACCGGAGAAGAAGCCCCGGCUAACUUCGUGCCAGCCGCCGCCGUAAAAC
rnacentral:rRNA from 1 species